ensembl:lncRNA novel transcript
GGGUUACCACUGGAGGGGUUUGAGCAGAGCCAUGGCAUAUACUGAUUGGAAGCAGAAAAACUGCCAGGAAAAUGUCACAGCCACCCCUUACUGAACAGCAGAAACACCAGCAAAACACCAACUGCAACAUGGUGUAUUUUGAAGGUGAGAUUAAAUUUACCUACACCUAGAGAAAUAAUUGGAGCACAUGUCUAUUUGGGCCAAGAGGAUAAAGGCCAGUAGAGGAAUCAGAUCAAAGAACUUCCUCAGGGAAGUGUGCAGAGAACUGGAGUGGACCUUCCCCUAGGAAGCUGCCCAAAACGAGAGUGCUGGAAAGCUGGCCGCAGUGAGGCACUUCAGAUCCCAAGGGUAUGCUGGGGAAGCUGCCACAGGUGGGAGCACUUGCUGCUGGACCCUAGGCACUGUUGAAACAACUGCACCAUCUGCAGGAGCCCAGCAAGCCAAAGCCAGGCAUCCCAUCUGGAGAGAGAGAAGACUGAAGCAGAAACACAAUGGGAAGGAAGCAAAGAUGGAGAGAUGAGUUUUUGGAUUCAACUGAAGCCCUUGCUAUCUGCUAGAGUCAGAGUCAUCACAAUUGGGGGGUCUUCAUUAAGCUACACUUUUUAAUGGAACAUCCUAGUGAGGUUUGAGAGUACAGCUUUAUGGUCUAUAUUACAUUACUAAGCCGA